AGCGAACGCUGGCGGCAGGCUUAACACAUGCAAGUCGAGCGGGCAUCCUUGUGGUGUCAGCGGCAGACGGGUGAGUAACGCGUGGGAACGUGCCCUUCGGUUCGGAAUAACUCAGGGAAACUUGAGCUAAUACCGGAUACGUGCGAGAGCAGAAAGGUUUAUCUGCCGAAGGAUCGGCCCGCGUCUGAUUAGCUAGUUGGUGAGGUUAUGGCUCACCAAGGCGACGAUCAGUAGCUGGUCUGAGGGGAUGAUCAGCCACACUGGGACUGAGACACGGCCCAGACUCCUACGGGAGGCAGCAGUGGGGAAUAUUGGACAAUGGGGGCAACCCUGAUCCAGCCAUGCCGCGUGAGUGAUGACGGCCUUAGGGUUGUAAAGCUCUUUUCUCCGGGACGAUAAUGACGGUACCGGAGGAAUAAGCCCCGGCUAACUUCGUG
rnacentral:rRNA from 1 species